rnacentral:rRNA from 1 species
AGAGUUUGAUUCUGGCUCAGGACGAACGCUGGCGGCGUGCUUAACACAUGCAAGUCGAACGGAAAGGCCCUGCUUUUGUGGGGUGCUCGAGUGGCGAACGGGCGAGUAACACGUGAGUAACCUGCCCUUGACUUUGGGAUAACUUCAGGAAACUGGGGCUAAUACCGGAUAGGAGCUCCUGCUGCAUGGUGGGGGUUGGAAAGUUUCGGCGGUUGGGGAUGGACUCGCGGCUUAUCAGCUUGUUGGUGGGGUAGUGGCUUACCAAGGCUUUGACGGGUAGCCGGCCUGAGAGGGUGACCGGCCACAUUGGGACUGAGAUACGGCCCAGACUCCUACGGGAGGCAGCAGUGGGGAAUAUUGCACAAUGGGCGGAAGCCUGAUGCAGCAACGCCGCGUGCGGGAUGACGGCCUUCGGGUUGUAAACCGCUUUCGCCUGUGACGAAGCGUGAGUGACGGUAAUGGGUAAAGAAGCACCGGCUAACUACGUGCCAGCAGCCGCGGUGAUACGUAGGGUGCGAGCGUUGUCCGGAUUUAUUGGGCGUAAAGGGCUCGUAGGUGGUUGAUCGCGUCGGAAGUGUAAUCUUGGGGCUUAACCCUGAGCGUGCUUUCGAUACGGGUUGACUUGAGGAAGGUAGGGGAGAAUGGAAUUCCUGGUGGAGCGGUGGAAUGCGCAGAUAUCAGGAGGAACACCAGUGGCGAAGGCGGUUCUCUGGGCCUUUCCUGACGCUGAGGAGCGAAAGCGUGGGGGAGCGAACAGGCUUAGAUACCCUGGUAGUCCACGCUGUAAACGGUGGGUACUAGGUGUGGGGUCCAUUCCACGGGUUCCGUGCCGUAGCUAACGCUUUAAGUACCCCGCCUGGGGAGUACGGCCGCAAGGCUAAAACUCAAAGGAAUUGACGGGGCCCCGCACAAGCGGCGGAGCAUGCGGAUUAAUUCGAUGCAACGCGUAGAACCUUACCUGGGUUUGACAUGGAUCGGGAGUGCUCAGAGAUGGGUGUGCCUCUUUUGGGGUCGGUUCACAGGUGGUGCAUGGCUGUCGCCAGCUCGUGUCGUGAGAUGUUGGGUUAAGUCCCGCAACGAGCGUAACCCUUGUUCACUGUUGCCAGCACGUUAUGGUGGGGACUCAGUGGAGACCGCCGGGGUCAACUCGGAGGAAGGUGGGGAUGACGUCAAGUCAUCAUGCCCCUUAUGUCCAGGGCUUCACGCAUGCUACAAUGGCUGGUACAGAGAGUGGCGAGCCUGUGAGGGUGAGCGAAUCUCGGAAAGCCGGUCUCAGUUCGGAUUGGGGUCUGCAACUCGACCUCAUGAAGUCGGAGUCGCUAGUAAUCGCAGAUCAGCAACGCUGCGGUGAAUACGUUCCCGGGGCUUGUACACACCGCCCGUCAAGUCAUGAAAGUUGGUAACACCCGAAGCCGGUGGCCUAACCGUUGUGGGGGAGCCGUCGAAGGUGGGACUGGUGAUUAGGACUAAGUCGUAACAAGGUAUCC